UUGUUUUCCCUUUAUUAGGGAAUGCGUUCUCAUGUUAACAAUAGUAGUAGUACCAAACUCCCUGUUCUUUUAAGAGUUUCACCUCAAGAUAAGUCCUACUAACCUAAUCUCUGCUCUCCUUGCUUCUUUGAUGAAUCCCCUAGAGAAGAAUUGUCAAGCCGACACUGCAACAAGAUACCUGCCCCAUAACAGAGAUGUAGCCGGACCAUGUCCAGUAGUUCAACUCCCAAGAUAUUUUAAGUAAAUACCGACGUUGUUCAUCAAGUACUCCCUCCGUUCCUAAAUGUAAGUCUUUGUAGAGAUUCCACUGGAUGGACUACAUACGGAGCAAAAUGAAUGAAUCCACACUUAAAAUGCAUCUAUAUACAUCCGUAUGUAGUUCAUAGUAGAAUCUCUACAAAGACUUACAUUUAGGAAUGGAGGGAGUAGAAAGGAUUACAGUACAAUUACUUCUCAAAUACAGUAUUAUAACUGAAUUGUUGCUGGCAAUCAUAAACUACGAGGGAACUUAGCUAGCACCAAGAUGAACUACGAUAAAUUUCUAACCAGUUCAGCGGAAUGAUUUGUGAUUGGUGCUACUGAUUUGUUUGCUGCUACCAUAUGAUGGUUGAACUGUAGCUGAUCAACUGAUAGUUGAAUUGGCAGUUAUGAGAGAAUAUAGACAAUCUGCUGAAAAACUGAUUGUGUAUAUCAAAGAAUCUUUUUAGACCAAUGUGUAUAUGAAAAUUUAGACAACCAAAUUUAGACAUGCUAUUGAAGAUGCUCUUAGUACUAGCGCCGAAGGGUUUCUGUUGACAUGUAAGAGCAUCUCUAGCAGAUCCCUUAUUCUAAAAGUGCACAACAGAGGCACCAAGAGGAUAGCUUGCGCUCCCCCACGGGCGCCCUCGCCUACCUCACCUACCACAUUCACCGCCACCGCCCCCACCUUCGUCGAUGUGGUGUCUGGGUGGGUGCUUCCGUGCGUCGCCUUGCAUGAUCCAACAGUGGAGACCAUUCUAAGCAACUUCAUUGACCAGGUCUCCAGGCGGAUCUUGCCAUGUGUGGCAUUGAAGGAGGGUGUGGUGCGCGCAGCUGGCAAGUUCCCCUGAGCCCGCUCCUCCUUCAUGCCGUCUUGAAGCUGUGUAGCCACCCCCUUCAGUCUGCCAUGCGCCGGUUGGGGAAACUGCUGCCCCUAUGCCGGAGGGGCGUGCCCUGCCCGCCAGUCCUGUGACGAGGCCCCGUCUGCGCUCGGUGGUUAUUGCCCCUGCCACUUAGGAUGGCAGCCACCUACCGCGGAGAUCCAGCCAUAAAGAGAUCGACUGGGUUUAUACGCCCAGCUUAGGAUCCCCUACCUCGAGAUCUGCCAGUUUAGGUUCUGUCAUAUCGUGUCCUCGAUUAAUCCGACUGAUGGAAUCCUCCUUGCGGGUGCCCACACCGACUGAUAAACCCCCCUGUUACUAGCAUUGCCUUGGGCUGUAAAGAUCAUGAGUUUCGGCCUCCAUGGACCUUAGCUGGAUAAUAUAUCGCCGUGGGCCUACCCCGUGGGAGAUAACCUCAUCAGAACAGAGGUCAUCAUAAGGUAACGUUUCAGGAAAUACAAAAAUGCAAUAACUGGAACUAACUACUGCAAAUCAUCAUGCCCGAAUAGCAUGUUCAGAAUGCCAAUUACGACUGACUUGGACGUGCCUGAGUUGAGCCAUUGGUGGUUCAUACUUCAUAGUCCAUAGCUUUUUUAGCUCAGUGUUACGUCAAGACAUUACAGAACCUAUCUUAAAUUAAUAAAAAGGGCAAGAAGAAUAGAUGUAAGUUAAUCUACUAUGAUGCUCAAUUUGCAGAAGGGCAGUGAGUUCAGACCUUGGUGCAGUAGGCAGGUCACUUGAGAUAGUUAGCACAAAUCAUCACACUCGGCAGGUCAUCAUCAG
rnacentral:lncRNA from 1 species